rnacentral:rRNA from 2 species
CCUACGGGAGGCAGCAGUGGGGAAUAUUGGACAAUGGGCGAAAGCCUGAUCCAGCCAUGCCGCGUGUGUGAAGAAGGUCUUCGGAUUGUAAAGCACUUUAAGUUGGGAGGAAGGGCAGUAAGCUAAUACCUUGCUGUUUUGACGUUACCAACAGAAUAAGCACCGGCUAACUUCGUGCCAGCAGCCGCGGUAAU